CCUACGGGGCGCAGCAGUGGGGAAUCUUCUGCAAUGGGCGCAAGCCUGACGGAGCAACGCCGCGUGAAUGAAGAAGGUCUUCGGAUCGUAAAGUUCUGUUCUUAGGGAAGAAGUAUUUUCUUGUGAAUAAUGGGAGAAGGUGACGGUACCUAUGGAGAAAGCUCCGGCUAACUACGUGCCAGCAGCCGCGGUAAUACGUAGGGAGCGAGCGUUGUCCGGAAUUACUGGGCGUAAAGGGCGCGUAGGCGGGACCUUAAGUUAGUUGUGAAAACUCCGGGCUCAACCUGGAGACUGCAUUUAAAACU
rnacentral:rRNA from 1 species